rnacentral:rRNA from 1 species
AUUGAACUCUGGAGGCAGGCCUAACACAUGCAAGUCGAGCUAGCGGCGGACGGUUGAGUAAUGUCUGUGACACUGCCUGAUGGAGGGGGAUAACUACUGGAAACUGUAGCUAAUACCGCAUACCAUCAGAUGUGCCCAGAUGGGAUUAGCUCGUAGGUGGGGUAAUGGCUCACCUAGGCGACGAUCCCUAGCUGGUCUGAGAGGAUGACCAGCCACACUGGAACUGAGACACGGUCCAGAUUCCUACGGGAGGCAGCAGUGGGGAAUAGUGCACAAUGGGCGCAAGCCUGAUGCAGCCAUGCCGCGUGUGUGAAGAAGGCCUUCGGGUUGUAAAGCACUUUCAGCGGGGAGGCGGUACCCGAAGAAGAAGCACCGGCUAACUCCGUGCCAGCAGCCGCGGUAAUAC